UACGAAGGGUGCAAGCGUUACUCGGAAUUACUGGGCGUAAAGGGUGCGUAGGUGGUUGCUUAAGUCUGUUGUGAAAGCCCCGGGCUCAACCUGGGAAUGGCAAUGGAUACUGGGCAGCUAGAGUGCGGUAGAGGGUAGUGGAAUUCCCGGUGUAGCAGUGAAAUGCGUAGAGAUCGGGAGGAACACCAGUGGCGAAGGCGGCUACCUGGACCAGCACUGACACUGAAGCACGAAAGCGUGGGGAGCAAACAGG
rnacentral:rRNA from 1 species